CUCUGAUGCUAUACAGUAGGUAGGUCAACAUUUUUAGUUCCAUCACAAGCUGCAGGCCAGUGUCAGGUCGCUAUUAUAACUUUGUUUCUCGUGCAAAAAAUGAGAGGAACCCUCGUCAGAAAAGAAAAAUGCAAAAGUGACAGCUCAACUUUCAGUGCAACCAAGCUAGCUGCUGCCCACGUCGCGUGCAGGUGAACAAGACGGGAACGAGGCUGCUGGGCGACUGACAGUCCAGUGACGUCAAAGCUCCAGAAAAUAGACAGGCACACCAGGCGUAACGUUUCCCAGCAGACACCUUGACUCUGUAGGGCAGCCGUGCAGCAGCGACAGGCUUGGUGGACUGCAGGCAGAACUGGACCUGCAGACGAAAUGAACCAUGUGACACAGAGCACCAGUGGACCAUGAAUGUGCAGAUCACUGACAACCUAAAAUGAAUUGAGCGGGCCUUGCAGUUGUCCAGUCCCAACAGGCUUUCAAGACACAAAGAGAACAUCGGUGGUAAAGGAAAGUGAACUAGAGGCAAUAAUGACAGAAAAAUACUUUUAACGGGCUCACCAUCGAAGAGGCAGCAGGCGGGACGAGCUGGGGUCGUCUGAAGGUCUGCAUACAUCCCCUCCGCACAGCGACCAGGAAGAGGCUCGCGU